AUUGAACGCUGGCGGCAGGCCUAACACAUGCAAGUCGAGCGAGCGGCGGACGGUUGAGUAAUGUAUGGGGAUAUGUCCGUUAGAGGGGGAUAACUACUGGAUACGGUAGCUAAUACCGCAUACUAUCGGAUGAACCCCUAUGGGAUUAGCUAGUUGGUGGGGUAAAGGCUCACCAAGGCAACGAUCCGUAGCUGGUUUGAGAGGACGACCAGCCACACUGGGACUGAGACACGGCCCAGACUCCUACGGGAGGCAGCAGUGGGGAAUUUUGGACAAUGGGGGAAACCCUGAUCCAGCCAUCCCGCGUGUAUGAGAAGGCCUUCGGGUUGUAAAGUACUUUUGGCAGAGAAGCGGUAUCUGAAGAAUAAGCACCGGCUAACUACGUGCCAGCAGCCGCGGUAAUAC
rnacentral:rRNA from 1 species